rnacentral:rRNA from 1 species
GAUGAACGCUAGCGAUAGGCUUAACACAUGCAAGUCGAGGGGCAGCACAAGGUAGCUUGCUAUCUGGGUGGCGACCGGCGCACGGGUGCGUAACGCGUAUGCAACUUGCCCUAUACAGGAGGAUAACCCGUCGAAAGACGGACUAAUACUGCGUAUGCUCACAACUUGGCAUCAAGUGGUGAGGAAAGAAAUUCGGUAUAGGAUAGGCAUGCGUCCCAUUAGCUUGUUGGUGAGGUAACGGCUCACCAAGGCAAUGAUGGGUAGGGGAACUGAGAGGUUUAUCCCCCACACUGGUACUGAGACACGGACCAGACUCCUACGGGAGGCAGCAGUGAGGAAUAUUGGUCAAUGGGCGCGAGCCUGAACCAGCCAAGUCGCGUGAAGGAUGACUGUCUUAUGGAUUGUAAACUUCUUUUAUACGGGAAUAACAAGAGUCACGUGUGACUCCCUGCAUGUACCGUAUGAAUAAGCAUCGGCUAACUCCGUG